rnacentral:misc_RNA from 1 species
GAUGAAGAACGCAGCGAAAUGCGAUAAGUAAUGUGAAUUGCAGAAUCCAGUGAAUCAUCGAAUCUUUGAACGCACAUUGCGCCCGCCAGUAUUCUGGCGGGCAUGCCUGUCCGAGCGUCAUUUCAACCAUCAAGCCCCAGGCUUGUGUUGGGGACCUGUGUCCGACGCAGGCCCUGAAAACCAGUGGCGGGCUCGCUGUCCACACCGAGCGUAGUAACUAACCUCGCUACGGGAGCGGCGCGGGCGCCUGCCGUAAAACCCCCAAUUUUCACAAGGUUGACCUCGGAUCAGGUAGGAAUACCCGCUGAACUUAAGCAUAUCAAUAAGCGGAGGA